GAAUGUGCCCGCAUAAUGGUCAGCAAAAUGCCAGGUACACACACAUAUAUGAUGAAAACAGAUAAUUUGGACCAAUUGGCUUGGCAGCAAACACACUAAGCUUACAAACAAUUCACAAAACCUUCUUCUGCUCCUUAGUCAGAGAACCAUUCGGGAAGAAGGCACGUCAAUCCCUAUUCACAUUUUCAAUCCCCCAAUAAGACAAUUGUGACAUAAAAUAGCUCAACAAAUAAUAACUCCCAGUUUAAUCAACACAAACCCCUUCAUUGACAAAAAACAAACAACAACAAAAAAAUUGAUUUGCUCCGGUUAAAUUACCAUAUCCAAACGCAAACUUAGGGAUUUUAUGAACAACCGAAUAUCUUUCCGUAUACUCAAAACAUAUAUAAUGGAAGAGGUUGUGCAGGCCCAAUUUGAAAUCAAUCUGCCAAAUUUUCAUUCAAAUUUCAAAUUUUAGAAUUACACUACCUCAUGCUAUUUUUCAUCGCACUGUCAGGUGUCAGCCUCCAUGACUGUCUUUGUUCAACUUUGAAAUUUCCUCUCUCAACAUUCUUCACUUGGACUAGUAAGAACUAAGAAAGCAUUACCUAUUGCUUCUUUAUUAUGCCUGAAAAUUUACCUCUUAUAAGUCACAGCAAGCAUCGCAUACGUACUCA
rnacentral:lncRNA from 1 species